UUGUCUUUUAAAUAAAGACCGGUAUGAAUGGCAAGACGAAAGUUCAACUGUCUCCCUAAAUUAAUCAAUGAAAUUGAUCUUCCCGUGCAGAAGCGGGAAUAAAAUUAUAAGACGAGAAGACCCUAUGGAGCUUUAAAUAUAUGAUCAACUGUAUAAUAUAAAAUUCGACAGACUAAACAUUAAAUAAAACAUUAUGGUCAAAAUUUUAGGUUGGGGCGACCACGGAGAAAAACAAAACCUCCGAGAUGAAAAGAGUAUCUUAAUUUAUGAACUACAGUUCUAAUAAAUAAAAUAUUUAACAUAAUUGAUCCAAUAUAUUGAUCAACGAACUAAGUUACCCUAGGGAUAACAGCGCAAUCCUUUCCAAGAGUCCCUAUCGACGAAUGGGUUUACGACCUCGAUGUUGGAUCAGGACACCCCAAUGGUGCAGCCGCUAUUAAAGGUUCGUUUGUUCAACGAUUAAAGUCCUA
rnacentral:rRNA from 1 species